rnacentral:rRNA from 1 species
UGCAAGUUCGAACGGUAGAGUAGCAAUACUCGAGAGUGGCGAACGGGUGAGUAAUAUAUCGGAACGUGCCCAGUCGUGGGGGAUAACGUAGAGAAAUUUACGCUAAUACCGCAACGAUCUAAGGAUGAAAGCGGGGGAUUCGCAAGAACCUCGCGCGAUUGGAGCGGCUGAUAUCAGAUUAGGUUGUUGGUGAGGUAAAAGCUCACCAAGCCGACGAUCUGUAGCUGGUUUGAGAGAACGACCAGCCACACUGGGACUGAGACACGGCCCAGACUCCUACGGGAGGCAGCAGUGGGGAAUUUUGGACAAUGGGCGAAAGCCUGAUCCAGCAAUGCCGCGUGCAGGAAGAAGGCCUUCGGGUUGUAAACUGCUUUUGUACGGAACGAAAAGGCUCUUUCUAAUAAAGAGGGCCCAUGACGGUACCGUAAGAAUAAGCACCGGCUAACUACGUGCCAGCAGCCGCGGUAAUACGUAGGGUGCGAGCGUUAAUCGGAAUUACUGGGCGUAAAGCGUGCGCAGGCGGUUCUAUAAGACAGAUGUGAAAUCCCCGGGCUCAACCUGGGAAUGGCAUUUGUGACUGUAGAGCUAGAGUACGGUAGAGGGGGAUGGAAUUCCGCGUGUAGCAGUGAAAUGCGUAGAUAUGCGGAGGAACACCGAUGGCGAAGGCAAUCCCCUGGACCUGUACUGACGCUCAUGCACGAAUGCGUGGGGAGCAGACAGGAUUAGAUACGGUGGUAGUCCACGCCCUACGCGAUGUCUACUGAUUGUUGGGUGUUUGAUUGCUCAGUAACGAAUCUAACCCCUGAAGUGGACUGCCUGGCGAGUACAGUCCGCGACGU